rnacentral:siRNA from 1 species
CCCGUUGCUCUGAUGAUU